rnacentral:rRNA from 1 species
CCCCGUCACAUCACAAAAAGUGGAUUGUACUAGAAGUCUGUGCGCCGACCCCGCAAGGGAGGCAGCGGCCCAAGGUAUGAUUCAUGAUUGGGGUG